rnacentral:rRNA from 1 species
UACGUAGGGUGCGAGCGUUAAUCGGAAUUACUGGGCGUAAAGCGUGCGCAGGCGGUUAGCCGUGUCCGAUGUGAAAGCCCCGGGCUCAACCUGGGAAUGGCAUUGGAAACUGGCUGGCUGGAGUGUGGCAGAGGGGGGGUGGAAUUCCACGUGUAGCAGUGAAAUGCGUAGAGAUGUGGAGGAAUACCGAUGGCGAAGGCAGCCCCCUGGGAUAACACUGACGCUCAUGCACGAAAGCGUGGGGAGCAAACAGG